rnacentral:rRNA from 1 species
AAUCAACGCUGGCGGCGUGCCUAACACAUGCAAGUCGAACGCGAAAGCCCCGCAAGGGGCAAGUAGAGUGGCAAACGGGUGAGUAACACGUGGGUGACCUGCCUUAGAGUGGGGGAUAACGUCCCGAAAGGGACGCUAAUACCGCAUAACAUCCUGCCUUUGAAGAGGUGGAGAUCAAAGCCGGGGACCGCAAGGCCUGGCGCUCAAAGAGGGGCCCGCGCCUGAUUAGCUAGUUGGUGAGGAAUGGCUCACCAAGGCAACGAUCAGUAUCCGGCCUGAGAGGGCGGACGGACACACUGGGACUGAGAUACGGCCCAGACUCCUACGGGAGGCAGCAGUGGGGAAUUGUUCGCAAUGGGCGCAAGCCUGACGACGCAACGCCGCGUGGAGGAUGAAAUUUUUCGGAAUGUAAACUUCGCAAGAACAGGAAGAAUAAAGUGUGGGACAAUACCCCACAUGAUGACGGUACUGUUUGUAAGCUCCGGCUAACUCCGUGCCAGCCGCC